UGCCAGACUCCUACGGGAGGCAGCAGUAGGGAAUUUUGCGCAAUGGGGGAAACCCUGACGCAGCAACGCCGCGUGAUUGAUGAAGCCCUUCGGGGUGUAAAGAUCUGUCAGUGGGGACGAAACUUGACGGUACCCACAGAGGAAGCAUCGGCUAACUCCGUGCCAGCAGCCGCGGUAAUACGGAGGAUGCGAGCGUUAUCCGGAUUUAUUGGGUUUAAAGGGUGCGCAGGCGGAUUUUUAAGUCAGCGGUCAAAUCGUGGGGCUCAACCCCAUCCAGCCGUUGAAACUGGGGAUCUAGAGUGUGCGAGAGGUAUGCGGAAUGCGUGGUGUAGCGGUGAAAUGCAUAGAUAUCACGCAGAACCCCGAUUGCGAAGGCAGCAUACCGGUGCACAACUGACGCUCAGGCACGAAAGCGUGGGUAUCGAACAGGAUUAGAUACCCGUGUA
rnacentral:rRNA from 1 species